rnacentral:rRNA from 1 species
GAGGAAUAUUGGACAAUGGGCGCAAGCCUGAUCCAGCCAUGCCGCGUGCAGGAAGACUGCCCUAUGGGUUGUAAACUGCUUUUAUACAGGAAGAAACAUCGCUACG